GAACGGUGAAAAGAGAGCUUGCUCUCUGUUCUCAGUGGCGAACGGGUGAGUAACACGUGAGCAACCUGCCCCGGACUCUGGGAUAACAUCUGGAAACAGCUGCUAAUACCGGAUACCAGCUGCGAAGGCGUCUUCAGCAGCUGGAAAGAAUUUCGGUCCGGGAUGGGCUCGCGGCCUAUCCCCUAGUUGGUGAGGUAAUGGCUCACCAAGGCGUCGACGGGUAGCCGGCCUGAGAGGGUGACCGGCCACACUGGGACUGAGACACGGCCCAAACUCCUACGGGAGGCAGCAGUGAGGAAUAUUGCACAAUGGGCGAAAGCCUGAUGCAGCAACGCCGCGUGGGGGA
rnacentral:rRNA from 1 species